GACGAACGCUGGCGGCGUGCUUAACACAUGCAAGUCGAACGAAGUGGCGAACGGGUGAGUAACGCGUAAUCAACCUGCCCUUCAGAGGGGAACAACAGUUGGAAACGACUGCUAAUACCGCAUACUGAAGGGGGGGAUUGGGUCUGAUUAGCUAGUGGGGGGGGUAACGGCCCACCAAGGCGAUGCUCAGUAGCCGGUCUGAGAGGAUGAACCGCCACAUUGGGACUGAGACACGGCCCAGACUCCUACGGGAGGCAGCAGGGGGGAAUCUUCCGCAAUGGACGAAAGUCUGACGGAGCAACGCCGCGUGAGGGAUGACGGCCUUCGGGUUGUAAAGCUCUGUUAAUCGGGACGCGGUACCGGAAUAGAAAGCCACGGCUAACUACGUGCCAGCAGCCGCGGUAAUAC
rnacentral:rRNA from 1 species